rnacentral:rRNA from 1 species
UACGUAGGGCGCAAGCGUUGUCCGGAAUUAUUGGGCGUAAAGAGCUCGUAGGCGGUUUGUCGCGUCUGCUGUGAAAACUCGAGGCUCAACCUCGGGCUUGCAGUGGGUACGGGCAGACUAGAGUGCGGUAGGGGAGACUGGAAUUCCUGGUGUAGCGGUGGAAUGCGCAGAUAUCAGGAGGAACACCGAUGGCGAAGGCAGGUCUCUGGGCCGAUACAUGACGC